CGACAGGAAGUUUUGGAAGAGAGAUUUCGGAACAUGAUUUGAAAUCGUGGAGCUAUUGAAUACACAUCGCCUCGUGAUCAAUUUGAUAGAUUAUUAACGUUUACUAAUACCUAAAGUUGGAUUACAAAAGUAUUUCGAAGUGUUUUGUGAAAGUGUAUCAUCGACUUUUUUAAUUUAAAAAAAUGACGUAACGUUUUGAAACUGUGUUUUUUUCUGAAUCACAGUUUCCAUAGAUGGAUAUUUUGGGUAUAUAUGGACCGAUUUAAUCGAAAAAAAGACCCAAUAGUGAUGUUUAUGGGACAUAUAGGAGUGCCAACAAAGAAGCUUGUCAAAGUGGCACUGACUCCGACUGGGAGCCACCUUUGUCAACUUGUCCAUCCCCCUCUGAAGCUGGUCACAUCCAGCUGUACCCCUGCUGUCUCUGGCUCCACACCUCCCGGGCCAUCUAGAGGUGUGAAGGCACUGACAAAGAAGCGGAGGAGGGGAAGUGUGCCACCCGCUAACAGAGGGACAGAAGGGCGUUGGCACACCGUCCUAGAAGAUGAUGUGGAACCACCCCAACCAACUUUUAGGCCGAAAAGGAAGCCAGGACCUCAGGUCAACGACAUGUCAAAGACCUCUUUGAGGAGCGUCAUGUAUAUGUUUCUUCUGGAUACAUUCUUUGGGUGUAAUGUCUUGUUCUAACAUGUCAAAUAAAGUGUUCUAUAUAAAACAAUCCUAACCGUUGGAGCUACCUUAAUUGUAUCUGAUUUGUUUAACACCAAGGCGCAUGUAGUAGGCUUGUCAUCUGACAUGUAUCAAUCAACCCUUUUGUAAGCAUGGAACUCUGAACCAUCCACCGGAGGGAGAUAAGUGUUGCACACCAAUUUCCCGUCUAGGACAAACAAUGGGUGUCAAAACACAAGCUUUCCAAUGUCCAGUAGGAUGAACUGACUCAAUGUUA
ensembl:lncRNA